UACAGAGGUGCCGAGCGUUAGGCGGAAUCACUGGGCUUAAAGCGUGUGUAGGCGGAUGCCUAAGUACCUUGUGAAAUCCCCCGGCUUAACCGGGGAACUGCUUGGUAUACUGGGUGUCUUGAGCCACUUAGGGGCGACCGGAACAAACGGUGGAGCGGUGAAAUGCGUAGAUAUCGUUUGGAACGCCAAUGGUGAAAACAGGUCGCUGGGAGUGUGCUGACGCUGAGACACGAAAGCCAGGGAGCGAACGGG
rnacentral:rRNA from 1 species